AUUCAACAUUCGAAAUCGAGAUGAAUAAUUUAGUUAAAGAUGCUGAAUAGUUAAUGAAUGAAGCUUUUCUUGUUAAGGUGCUGAUUUGCUGAGAAGAAAGUUACACAAGCGAAUUUUAAGUUUGUAUAUACUUUUGAUAUUAUCUUUAUAAAUGUUCUGAUCUUUAAAAUGAGUAGAAUCAUUUUUGGUAAUGUUAUCUUGAAUUUUAUAGUAUUAUUUUUUUAUACUUAAAACUUUUUUCUUUUUUUUUAGACUUUAAAAAUUUCUAUUUAUGAUUUAUAACAUAUAUUUUUAAAGUUCUGCUUUCACGAUAUUUGGUUUUAGUUGGCUCACUGUUUAAUAUAACUUUAAUUUAGUAAAUUUGAAACUCAAUUAAAUAAUCAAUUAAAGCUAGUGAGUAAGUCACUUUGAUUCAAUAACACCGAGGAAUUUAUGACUUAAAUUUUUUUGCUUGAAUAGAUUCCAAUUAUUUUUAUAUACUAUAAACAUUGUCAGUUUCUAGCUCAUUUAGUAUAUUCAAUGACGAUCAAUUGUGAAGCGACAAUAACAUUGUGAAAUUUUUAUAGGCAUAUGUUUGGUGUGCAUCUUAAGAUCAUGUUGGGGUUUUUAAUAAAUGUUGAAUUUUUUCCACACAAAAAUUAUAGUAACUGUUAUACAUUUAUUUUAAUAAAUCAACAGGAUGAUAAAAUUUAAUUUGUGUACGUAAACUUGGUCAAAUUUAUCUAAAAUACGUUUUUAAUAUGUUAUAUAUAUGAAAUUAGUUAUCAUAAAGUUCAAAAUCAAAACUUUUUGCCUGCAGUGGAAAAGCUAAGAAAAAGGACUUAGCCCGAAGAUUCGUUUUAUACAAAUAAAUGCAAUAAUAUAAGGGAGUUAGAUGAAAGAUUAAUAAUAAAGAAAAGUUUCAUUUGUUGGUUUUGUUUAUUCUUUACAUUAAUAUAUAUAGAAAAUAUUUUGUAGGGCUGUCAACUUUAUUGAAAAGGUGAUAGUUCAAUUUCAGCUUCAAUUAAUAAAGUUUUUGAUAAAGCUAUGUCAAAAAGUGUUCAAUCAUUUUUUAAUAAAGCAGGGAGAUAUGACAAAAGAUUAUUUUAAAAACAUUGUUGUACAAAGCAAAAACAAUGCUGUCACAUGUAACAAAAUUCGAUUCGGUGUCAGUUCGUCAAUGCGUUGAUAGGCGAUCAAGAGAGCUCCUUAAAAAAUAAAAUAUUUUAUAUCGUUUUUGUAUAUUUUUCAUUAAAAAUGAAUAUAAAAUUAUUAAACCUUUA
rnacentral:misc_RNA from 1 species